UACGGGGGGGGCAAGCGUUGUUCGGAAUUACUGGGCGUAAAGGGCUUGUAGGUGGCCAACUAAGUCAGACGUGAAAUCCCUCGGCUUAACCGGGGAACUGCGUCUGAUACUGGAUGGCUUGAGUUUGGGAGAGGGAUGCGGAAUUCCAGGUGUAGCGGUGAAAUGCGUAGAUAUCGGGAGGAACACCAGCGGCGAAGGCGGCGAUCUGGACAGAUAUUGACGCUGAGGUGCGAAAGCGUGGGGAGCAAACAGG
rnacentral:rRNA from 1 species